UCCUUAGACGCUUUGAAAAGAGAAAAAAAGUGUGCACUUAAAACACAAGAUAACACAAUUCUUAAAAACAACAAUAUAAAAGUCUAUCAAAAUUCAUCAUAGUAAAAAAUGUUGAAGCACUCUGUGGUUGUGCUAUACCCAGAAAAAAAGUUUCCAGUUAUCACUUCACCACCAAGCAUCAAAUACACGCGCAACCCAAUGGUGGACCGACCGAUUACCAGCCACCGACAAUUGAUGAUCUCAAUCCCAGUCCUCCUAUGGUUCCUCCACCAUCAAGUGAUCCUAUCAUACGCAGCCCAGAAAUACCACAUAUUCAGCCUCGAUGGCCAAUUCGACCACCUCCUAAUUAUUAAGUAAAGACUUAAGAACGGACCAUUUUAUAAUAGAUGGUGGUCUGUUAGUGGCUCGGACUGAGAUCCUAAGAGGUCUUAACUUGCUUUCCUUUCGGUUUGAUUCGGCUUUUCAUUUGUGCAUCAUCUUGGCUGCGAAUUUGGGGGUGCCAUGGUUUGUAGUGCAUUUGUCAAGUUAUUGCUUUGUAUUUCUAUUAGUUUCUGUUCUGUAUUGUCAUUUGUUAUAUGCUGGGCUGCUUGUUGUGUUUCUGUUUUGUAUCCUGUUUUCAUGUCGGGUGGAAAUCUGUUCUUGUUCUUUUUUGGUUUAACAGACCAACGUUUUAAAAAACUGAACGAUACCGGAAAAAUGGCCAUUACAACUUUUAGCCUCUUUUUAAUAAAUACAUUGUGUUGUUAAAAUAAAAUAAAUCUUAAUU